UCUCCGUAGGUGAACCUGCGGAGGGAUCAUUACUGAGUGAGGGCCUUCGGGCUCGACCUCCAACCCUUUGUGAACACAACUUGUUGCUUCGGGGGCGACCCUGCCGUUUCGACGGCGAGCGCCCCCGGGGUCAAUCAAACACUGCAUUCUCUGCGUCGGAGUUUAAGUAAAUUAAACAAAACUUGCAACAACGGAUCUCUUGGUUCUGGCAUCGAUGAAGAACGAGC
rnacentral:misc_RNA from 1 species